rnacentral:rRNA from 1 species
AUCCAGAGAAUUUAGCAGAGAUGCUUUAGUGCCUUCGGGAACUCUGAGACAGGUGCUGCAUGGCUGUCGUCAGCUCGUGUUGUGAAAUGUUGGGUUAAGUCCCGNAACGAGCGCAACCCUUAUCCUUUGUUGCCAGCACGUAAUGGUGGGAACUCAAAGGAGACUGCCGGUGAUAAACCGGAGGAAGGUGGGGAUGACGUCAAGUCAUCAUGGCCCUUACGAGUAGGGCUACACACGUGCUACAAUGGCGCAUACAAAGAGAAGCGACCUCGCGAGAGCAAGCGGACCUCAUAAAGUGCGUCGUAGUCCGGAUUGGAGUCUGCAACUCGACUCCAUGAAGUCGGAAUCGCUAGUAAUCGUAAAUCAGAAUGUUACGGUGAAUACGUUCCCGGGCCUUGUACACACCGCCCGUCACACCAUGGGAGUGGGUUGCAAAAGAAGUAGAUAGCUUAACCUUCGGGAGGGCGUUUACCACUUUGUGACUCAUGACUGGGGUGAAGUCGUAACAAGGUAGGCGUAGUGCU